AACAAUAAUGUUUUUAUGGAAAAUAUUUUCUUAAAGAAAGUUUUAUUUUUAGAAAUAUAUAUAUAUAUAAUGUUGAAAAUCAAUUGCAAAUUAUUUCCUAGCAUUUGGAGUACAUUGGAAAGUACUGUUUUUCUUUCAAUACAACCAUGAAAUGAUUGGAUCUAUAAGAACUUUAUAUUUUUCUAUUUAUGCUUGAACAUGAUAGAGAAUCACAUAAGAAAAGUCAAUAUGGCUGUCACUACUGCUCACUGGUGUCCAGUGAUGGCCAGGGAUGAUCAACUUUGGUUGUUAGACUAAUGGGCAUGUGCCUAUAUUGUUCCUAAUUUCUUAUAGUCCUUUCCGUUUUAUGAAUAUGUGAAAGUCUAGGACAUGACUUCCUGUUUUGAAAGCAGAAAAUUAUUUUCCUAGAAAACAUAAUAUUUUCCCCUCGGCUAGAAAACAUUUUCUGUUGGCCAAUUGUUUCUAAAUGCCCAAAAUGCUAGAAAGGAAUAUUUGGAAAGUGUUUUCCAGUAACUAUUUUAUGUGAAACAAAUGGAUGAUUAAUUUUAACUUUCAUUAUUGAUUUGCUCCUUUAGUAAACAGUCAUUGGAGGGUGUCUAUCUGUCAACUUUUCUAGUUCAACUGAAUAUCAAAAUGCAAUAUUCAAGGUAAUAUCUUCUGCUAUUGCCAUAUACUGAGUCACUUGUCUUUUCUUGGAACCUGGAUGGCCAGAUAUAUCUUUUUAGGAUGCAUAAUAUUGCUUAUGGUGCCUUCAACUAACCCUACUCUUGGGUCGUGUUGGUGGUCUUGCAAUAAUAAUUUUGAGUUACUUCUUUGGAAUUCGGAAUGAAGAUAAAGGAAGUCUGUGAGAUGCAUGUUGCUACAAUUGAUUCCCUGUUGUUAGCUAGGUUUUCUUAUGUAAUCCAUCCUUAUUGGAUGGACUAUUUCCCUUGCCAUAUUUUAAACUUCAUUUCUUCUAUUUUAAGCACAAAAGUAGAUGACUUGCAAACCAGUAUCACAUUUCCAAUACAGUAUGAUAGCAAUGGGAUCACAAUGGAAAUGGUCUUUUGGCAUUAAUGCAAAUUUAAAAAUAUCCAUUUACCAAUUAUGAUUAAAAUCACUAAUUUUGGAAAUCCUUUUACCCUUAAUAAUACUCAGCUGUCAGUGGGAUGCCAUUUAUCUGUCCUUUCAGAACCCUUGCUCCCUAGAAUCCAUGUGGUGGUGGAAAAUUUACCCCAAACUCUAAUUCAUGACCGCAGCACCAGAGAGCUCCUUUCACACAAUGGAGGGAAAACAUAAUUUUGAGAUAUUCUAUCCAUGAUUAAAGUGCUAAUUUUUCUUUACUAUGGAUGGAUGCCCAAUAAAGUUGGAUUGGAACUGGUCUAUCCUGUCACUUCCCUUGGUGUUGAAGUGGCUUAAUGAUGAAAUAGCUUUCUAAUGCUAAUGGAUAAUAUUAUUUUGCUUCCAAAUACCAUGCAAUGUUACCUUCAAUGAUCUUUCUUAUCAUGCAAUGUUAUCUUAGAUGAUCUUUCUUAUAUCUUUAUGUAAGCAUUCAACUCUUAGGUGGGCUACUAUGCAUGAUAUAAGUUUAAACAAUCAUUUUUAAUUUUUAUCUAUAUCUAAAAAAAUAAAUACUUGAAGUAUAUAAGAUCCUAACUAUCUUAAUGCUUAGUGCUAAGAAAAUCUAUUCUUUAACAAUUCUUAUAUCUUGCAGAGUUCAUGGACAAAAAGGAAU
rnacentral:misc_RNA from 1 species